rnacentral:rRNA from 1 species
GCAAGUCGAGGGGUAACAGGAAAGCUUGCUUUCGCUGACGAACGGCUCACGGCGCGUAACGCGUAUGCAACCUACCUAUACUUGAUGAUAGCCUUGCAAAGGAGGUUUAAUACUUAUUGCAUCUUGUAUUCGUAUGCAUUAUGAUUAAAGGGUUACGGUAUGAGAUGAGUAUGCGUCCCAUUAGCUAGUUGGUGAGGUAACGGCUCACCAAGGCGACGAUGGGUAGGGGGCCUGAGAGGGUGGUC